rnacentral:rRNA from 1 species
CACCAGCGCCACGAGUGGCUAUCGCGAUUAUUGGGCCUAAAGCGUCCGUAGUCGGCUCUGUACAUCUUCUGUGAAAUCGUUGCGCUUAACGUAACGGCACGCGGAAGACACGGCAGAGCUUGAGAGCGGGAGGCGUGAAGAGUACUCCUGGGGGACCGGUAAAAUGGUAUAAUCCCAGGAAGACUACCUGUGGCGAAGGCGCUUCACGAGAACGCAUCUGACGAUGAGGGACGAAAGCCAGGGGAGCAAACCGG